CGCCUCUUGCCUCCCAUAAGAGGUCCAGCCUGCCCAGUGACUCUGUUCAACGGCCGCGGUAUCCUAACCGUGCGAAGGUAGCGUAAUCACUUGUUCUUUAAAUGAGGACUAGUAUGAAUGGCCCCACGAAGGCUACGCUGUCUCCUUUUUCUAAUCAAUGAAACUAAUCUCCUCGUGAAGAAGCGAGAAUAAUUUUAUAAGACGAGAAGACCCUAUGGAGCUUUAAACAACUGAAAAAUUGCAUACUUUUAACUUCUACCUCCCGAGAUCCCCUUCUUAUUUAAGCACUUUUUUCCCAGUUUUAGGUUGGGGUGACCACGGAGCAAAAUUUAACCUCCACGACGAAAAAGAUCCUCUUUUAGCUAAAAGCUACUCCUUUAAGCAUCAGCAAACUGACUUCUUUUGACCCAAUAAAUUGAUCAACGAACCAAGUUACCCUAGGGAUAACAGCGCAAUCUACUUUAAGAGCUCAUAUCGACAAGUAGGUUUACGACCUCGAUGUUGGAUCAGGGUAUCCUAGUGGUGCAGCCGCUACUAACGGUUCGUUUGUUCAACGAUUAAAACCCU
rnacentral:rRNA from 1 species